rnacentral:lncRNA from 1 species
CGCGGCCCGGAGUCCCCAUUUUCCAAGUAGGUUCUGAUUUCCCGAGAGAUGGCAAAGGCCCUGGCAGGAAGUUUACACGGCCCAACGUAAACACGUUCUGGGGGAUUCUUUAAUAAUAAUAAUAGAGAAUUCCGCGUGCGCGGGGGGAGUUGGCCUAAUGCCCCUGUGGGCUCGGCCUGCCGCCGCCGCGGGGCCUCCGACUGCGCACCCGGCCAGGUUCCGGAGAGCGGGCAGGGAGCGCGGGCCGAGGCUGCCCUCGCGCCCCUGGCUGCCGGCCUAAGGGGCUCGCUCGCACGCACGCCUCCGCUCGUCACCCUCGCCUUGCCGGCGUGCGGACAGGGCCUGCGGCGGUGGGAAAUCUGGGAAAUCGGAGCGCAGCGCAGGACCGCGCGGGAGGCCGGCGGGACGCAGCGCGCACAGACCCCGACACCGGGGUGACCGUGGUGACCGAGCCACUCUGCCCAGAGCGGGGCCAUCCCUGCACACAGACCUGACAUCGUGCAGAAGCCGGAGGGGCUGCUGACCCUCGCCACUAACUGCUCUUCUCAGAAGUGUGUUUCUUGAACUAAUUUCAGUUUCUAAGGAGGAAUUUUAGGGCAGGAAAAAAUGGAGUGGAAAGUACAGAGCUCCUUCCCCGGAUUUCCAUCUUAGAGUUACAAUGGAGCCACAUGGACGCGUUGUUAUUGACUCUAGUCCUGGACCCCUCCCGCUUCCUGUUGGACCUGAGGGGCCGAUGUAUCAGGACAUGUACCCUCCCCAACCAGCCAGAGCAGCUAGAAAUGGAAGCUCUUAAACCGGUAGUUCUGUAAACAAAUGCUUUUUACACAGACCCCAAGCCCAGAUGUAUUGGCUCAGGAUGCAAACAGUGCCCCCUCCUUACCGGUGCCUUGGAUUCUUAGGGUCCUUUUCCUGCCCUGCCCCGACCCAUGUUCCACCCACCACCCCUUCUUGCCUGACCAAUGGCCACUCGUCUUGGCCCAGUUUUGCUUUUAUCCCCUCCCUGCCCAGUGGCUGGAGUCCCUACUGCUCGUGCCCGGGCUCCUUUCACUGAGGGAUACAUUUUUCUUCAGGUCUUUACCUGACUUGGGAGCUCAGUUCUUUUUAGUGCUAAAUAAUAUUCCAAGGUCCCAUCGAGGCCAGUUUAUUUUCUUCCCGUUCACCUACCAGGGGACACCUCGCUGGCCUUCAGUUUUGGCAGUCAUGAAUAAAGCUGCUUUGAGCUUCCACGUGUAGCUUUUCCUUUGUCUAGACCUAAGCUUUCAACUCAUUUGGUUAAAUACCAAGGAGCGUGAUUGUGGGGUCCCAGGGAAGAGUAUGUCUGGCUUUGUCAGGAGCUGCAGCGAAGGAGAGCUUCUGUUUUUCCACACCCUCUCCGGCUGGUGGGGUGUGAGUGUUUUGGUGUUUAGCUCUUCGGUAGGUGUGCUGUGGUGUCUCGCUGUCGUAAGCUGUGUGUGUGUGUGUGUGUGUGUGUGUGUGUGCGCGCGCGCAGUUUGCGGGUUGAACACACAGGCCCUCCACCACUGAACUACACCCCAGCCCUUUUUAUUGUUUUAUUUGGAGAUAAGGUUUCACUAAAGCACUCAAUUGCCCAGGCUGGGCUCAAACUUGCAGUCCUCCUGCUUCAGCCUCCCAAAUAGCUGGGAUUACACAUGUGCACCACCAUGCCUGGAUAAUAAACUCUUGUGACCCAGAA